AUUGAACGCUGGCGGCAUGCCUUACACAUGCAAGUCGAACGGUAACGGGCCUUCGGGUGCCGACGAGUGGCGAACGGGUGAGUAAUGCAUCGGAACGUACCUUUCAGUGGGGGAUAACGUAGCGAAAGUUACGCUAAUACCGCAUAUUCUGUGAGCAGGAAAGCAGGGGAUCGCAAGACCUUGCGCUGAUUGAGCGGCCGAUGUCAGAUUAGCUAGUUGGUGAGGUAAAGGCUCACCAAGGCGACGAUCUGUAGCGGGUCGGAGAGGAUGAUCCGCCACACUGGACCUGAGACACGGGCCAGACUCCUACGGGAGGCAGCAGUGGGGAAUUUUGGACAAUGGGGGCAACCCUGAUCCAGCCAUGCCGCGUGAGUGAAGAAGGCCUUCGGGUUGUAAAGCUCUUUCGGUCGGGAAGAAAUCGCAUGGGUUAAUACCCUGUGCGGAUGACGGUACCGGCAUAAGAAGCACCGGCUAACUACGUGCCAGCAGCCGCGGUAAGAC
rnacentral:rRNA from 1 species